AACGAACGCUGGCGGCAUGCCUAACACAUGCAAGUCGAACGAGACCUCCGGGUCUAGGGGCGCACGGCUGCGUAACGCGUGGGAACCUGCCCUUGGGUUCGGAAUAACUCCCCGAAAGGGGUGCUAAUACCGGAUAAGGUCUUCGGACCAAAGAUUUAUCGCAUUUGGAUGGGCCCGAGUUGGAUUAGCUGGUUGGUAGGGUAAAAGCCUACCAAGGCGACGAUCCGUAGCUGGUUUGAGAGGAUGAUCAGCGACACUGGGAGUGAGACACGGCCCAGAAUCCUACGGGAAGGAGCAGUGGGGAAUAUUGGACAAUGGGCGAAAGCCUGAUCCAGCAAUGCCGCGUGAGUUAUGAAGGCCUUAGGGUUGUAAAGCUCUUUUACCCGGGAUGAUAAUGACGGUACCGGGAGAAUAAGCUCCGGCUAACUACGUG
rnacentral:rRNA from 1 species